AGCCGAGCCGAGCCACCUAAGCCUUCUUUCCUCCACUUCGGUUCACGGUAGUACAGAGUUGACGCUUAAGUUCUCGGGUUCCGCGGCAGGCCUGGUUGGAGAUAGUUUCCUUUCCUUGGGUGGAUCUGUUGAGCGUAGAUUUCGAUCGAGG